UGAAAGGGCUUAAGAAUGUGUCCCCAGCUGU
rnacentral:piRNA from 1 species